AACGAACGCUGGCGGCAUGCCUAACACAUGCAAGUCGAACGAGACCUUCGGGUCUAGUGGCGCACGGGUGCGUAACGCGUGGGAACCUGCCCUUAGGUUCGGAAUAACUCCCCGAAAGGGGUGCUAAUACCGGAUAAUGUCUUCGGACCAAAGAUUUAUCGCCUUUGGAUGGGCCCGCGUUGGAUUAGCUAGUUGGUAGGGUAAAAGCCUACCAAGGCGACGAUCCAUAGCUGGUCUGAGAGGAUGAUCAGCCACACUGGGACUGAGACACGGCCCAGACUCCUGCGGGAGGCAGCAGUGGGGAAUAUUGGAAAAUGGGCGAAAGCAUGAUCCAGCAAUGCCGCGUGAGUGAUGAAGGCCUUAGAGUUGUAAAGCUCUUUUACCCGGGAUGAUAAUGACAGUACCGGGAGAAUAAGCACCGGCUAACUCCGUG
rnacentral:rRNA from 1 species